rnacentral:rRNA from 1 species
UACGUAGGGUGCAAGCGUUAAUCGGAAUUACUGGGCGUAAAGCGUGCGCAGGCGGUUUUGUAAGACAGAUGUGAAAUGCCCGGGCUUAACCUGGGAACUGCAUUUGUGACUGCAAGGCUAGAGUUUGGCAGAGGGGGGGUAGAAUUCCGACGUGUAGCAGUGAAAUGCGUAGAUAUGUGGAGGAAUACCGAUGGCGAAGGCAGCCCCCUGGGUCAAGACUGACGCUCAUGCACGAAAGCGUGGGGAGCAAACAGG